UUUGUUUUUGUUUUUUUGUGUUUAUUUUCCCCUGAUUAGAAAUGAGUAUUCAAUUGCUAUAAAUAGGAAUUAAAUUAUGUGUUUUUAUUUUUUAUUUUUUAUUUUUUAUUUUAUAUUUAUUCAUUUCGACUAUUCUUAACAGUUCGGUUCAAAAUUUUCUUUCCUAGAUAGUGGAAUGUGCAUUUUUGAAUUGAAAUUACCAUAUGCAAGUCCUCUCUUUAAUAGACAUGUUGUUGAUCUAUUACAAUUGCUAUUAUAUGUCUUGCAAAAUUAUGGAAAUGCUAAUUUGCAAGAAUGAAGGUUCUUUUUCAACCAUUUUGUGGGAUCAUAUUGUUUUUCUCUUUCCAAUGAGGAUAAUGGACAACAGUUGCAUCUAUUUCUUUUUCCUUUUUAUGCUUCCACCCUGCAUUUAGGAGAUGAAAACCAAAAACCAUUUCAUAUUUUUUCUUCUAUGGUAACAACUACAUGCUUUUAUCUAGAUGUAUUUCACAAGAUAAUUCCAUUAUGCUUUAUGUAUUAGUGAAAUUUAGCUGCUUUUAGUCAUUGAUAUGUUUGCUCCUUUCAGAUUUUUAGCUAAUUUGUGGUUUGUUCGAAAUUUUGCAUCAUAUUAUUCUUGACUGGAUUGCAUUGAUAUUUAUGUACAUAUCUGGUUAAUAUUCAGCCAAAUAUCUCUUGCUGGUUCCUCUUGAAGUUUUAGUUUUGAACUUUCUUUCCAGGCAAGACCAAUCCAUAUGUUAUUUUAAGCCUAGGGGACCAAGUCAUACGCAGCAAAAAGAAUAGCGAAACCACAGUCAUUGGACCUCCUGGUGAACCAAUUUGGAAUCAGGGAGAACUUGGAAAAGGAAUCGCGCAUUAUGGAGCUCAGAAAUCAGCUAAUAUUUAUCUUGCUUUCUUUAGGUGGUGUCAAAAUUAUUGUAUUGAUUGUGAAACAUUUUCUCCUGUUUGUAUGGUACACGGUGCAGAAUUAUGAGAACAAUAGAGUUGGCUACUGCAAAGGAGAAGCUACAUGAGCUUGAGAGAAAAAAGGAAGAAAUGUUAAGGUUUGGUUCCCCUGCUUCCCUUCUCCAAAGGCUUCAAGACACAAUGAACAUGACAGAUGAGGAAUCUGAAAAUCUGCACAAGCAGCUUUUUGUGCAAAUAUACAAGAAGCUUCGCACCACUUAAGCGAGCACUCAUUCAUCUUGCAGCUAAAACAAAUUCACUCAGUUGAAUUGAUAUUAUAGAAAGAUAUAUACUUGGAACACAUUGAAAUCUUACUUCUAGUUUCAAUGCAUUGGCUAGAUAAACGUGAUUGUCUAUGUAUUAUUUGGUUAAAUAUUUUCUCUUUGCUAGUAUAUCAGUUUUGACAGCACCUGUUCAUGUACGUUCAACAUUCAUCGUGGUAUGGUAUUAUAUAGUUACAAGUUUAUCA